UUAUAAAGUAAUUCAUUUUACUGGGAUCUGGUACCAUCAGUGGUGAGACUGAAGAUUCUUAUGGCUCACUCUUAGAACUGUGUUGGAAGGGAACUAAACCAAUAGAUAUUGGUGAUGGACAAAUACGAAAAUUUCUUCAAGAUGGUGACACCUUUUAUUUAUCAGGCCACUGUCAAGGUGAUGGUUACUGUAUUGGAUUUGGAGAGUGUUCUGGCAAAGUACUUCCUGCACACCAGUAACAGAAAGAUAAUAUCAUUUGCUUCGAUCUUUGCUUAUUUCACUGUAAUGUUACAUGUGAUCAGAAUGGUGGUGAUCAGAAUAUUAACAGGUGGUGGUAUACAUGGAUACACUGCAUAGUUGUAUUUAAUGUGUUCACAAGUGAAUUAUGUAUGAUUUAUAGUACUGACACAACACCAUAUCAAAGUGAUACAGCAGUAUGCUUAGGAACGACGUCAAAAGAUCGAUGUCGGAUAAAAAACUUAUUUGCUUUAGUUUGGGGGUGGGGGGUUUUGACCUCAAAAAGUUUCCAUCCUACAAAAACGAUUUUAUUUGUUAAUGAAGUCAAAAAAUCGUGGAGUAUUUGUAGUUCGUUUUUUUUCUAUCCAAUCAUGGACAGAAAUAACAGAAAAUGAAAAAAACAAAAAUCCAAGACGAGAAAAUGGUUUGGUCCGAGUGUAAAUAUGUGCGUCAAAUGAGGUGCAUUUGUAAAAGUCUUUUUACACCCACCCGACAGCUAACUGCUAU